CUCGGUGACUAUGGCGGAGGGGAAACACCCGUUCCCAUUUCGAACACGGAAGUUAAGCCGGGAGCCGUCCCCGGUGGUACUGGGGAAACCCGGGAAGCCGGGGAUGCCGUCC
rnacentral:rRNA from 1 species